AGAACUAGGUCUUUACCAAUGUCAGAUCGAACAAAAUAAAAUUAAAAAUUAAAGAUCAAUUGAGAAGGAACAAAGAUUCUUGACAGCAUAUGAUUUGUAAAAUAAGAGAUCAUUCUUUUCUCUCAGCACAAUCGAUGAAAAUUCUGGAGGAGAUAGAUCUUCUCUCAGUGGGAUAGGCUUACGUGGGGGUGAAGUCGAAUC
rnacentral:lncRNA from 1 species